CAGCAUAAAAAGACUCCGUGAACAUCUGAACACUCAUCAGUCGAAGCCUCGACAGAAGAGAAGUUGCUUUAACCCGCAAAGAUCAAAUUUAGAAGACGAGAAUUUCGGAGCAUGGCAGACGGCGUACUGUUGUAUGAAAAAGAAAACUAUGAGCUUCCCUCUCAGGAAGUAACAACUGAGCAAUCAGACUUGACGGCAAUUGGCCUGAAUGGUGCAAGAUCUCUUUAAGUUGGAGAAUAUGCUGGGAAUUGGGUCGUGUUCCCUCAAACUAAUUUCAAUCCGGUUGGUGGAGGACAACAAAUCAAACAGGGUCAAAAUUGCCCUAACCCGGCAACCAUGGGUCUUUCGGGCCCUGUCAUGAGCUUGAAAAAGGUUUCAUAGUGAUAAACGCUUCACAUUAAAGGUUCUCUGGAUGAAUUUCUCUCUCAAACGAUUUGUGAAAGCAACCUAACUAAGUUAAAGGAACCAAAAUAAAACUAUAUUAAGCGUUUCAAGAUUUUGUUAUUGUAAUUUCGUACAGUUGUCUACAGAUUAAAACAUCUUAUUCUCUCAGCUGAGGAGGUGAAA